UGGAGGAAUUUGGUGGGAGGAUUAGGAUAUGGUGGAGUCACUGUAGUCCGACCUGUGGUAAGCAGAGUCGUUACCGUUAGCAAGGGAAUCGGACACGGAGGAUUCGGAGGCCUUGGAGGAUUUGGAGGACUUGGAGGACUUGGAGGAUUUGGAGGACGUUAUGGUGGCUAUGGAUGGUAACACUUUGCAAUAAAAAGAAAAUAAUAAUUAA